rnacentral:rRNA from 1 species
AGACUACGAUAGGUAGGGGCCCUGAUAGGGGGAUCCCCCACACUGGUACUGAGACACGGACCAGACUCCUACGGGAGGCAGCAGUGAGGAAUAUUGGACAAUGGGCGAAAGCCUGAUCCAGCCAUGCCGCGUGCAGGAAGACGGUCCUAUGGAUUGUAAACUGCUUUUAUUCAAGAAUAAACCCCCAGUCGUGUAUUGGGGCUGAAGGUACUGAAUGAAUAAGCACCGGCUAACUCCGUGCCAGCAGCCGCGGUAAUACGGAGGGUCCGAGCGUUAUCCGGAAUCAUUGGGUUUAAAGGGUCCG